ensembl:lncRNA
GUCUCAUUCUCUCUCCCUCCUACCUGUAGAUCUAGAUGUAGAACUCUCAGCUACCUCUCCAGCACCCUGUCUUCCUGCUACCAGGCUUCCUGCAAUGGCAAUAUUGGACCAAACCUCUGAACUGUAAUCCAGCCCCAAAUAAAUGUUUUCCUGGAUAAGAAUUGCCAUGAUCACAAUGUCUCUGCACAGCAAUAAAACCCUAAGGCAGUAUGUUAUAGAAAUAAUAAAGGGCUGGGACACUGACCUUCAGAAGGAGAAAUCACCCUAUAAUCACCCCAUAUAAUAUGGACGAACCUAUAAAAUCAUUUCAUACUGUGAAGAACAACAACAAAACAAAUAGUCUGAUUAAAGUUACAGAGAGAACUACCAAAAAAGAGUCAGAUUGAUGUUACAUUAUUAACCUUUAAGGGAGGUGGAUGAAGUCACAAAAAGGAAUCAGGGUGCUGUGAUAAGCUGAAAAGGCAAGGACCCCAACUCUCCACUAGAACCCCAGAGGCUGCACAGCUUUGCCAAUAUUUGAUGCUAUCCCUGUGAUAUUUAUUCUGGGCCUUUGGUCACUUGAGCCACAAGACUUGUAAGACAACAAAUUUGCAGUAUUUGUGCUGAGACAGGCUUGGCAGGAAUAUAAUAUAAAUGGGAUCUCUAUACAACCUAAAUGGAAGUUUACUGUAUGGCUCUAUAAUCGCACCCUUGUUGUGUUUUUACAACCUGUCAUGUCUAAAACACACGAUAUGUAUGCAUAUGUAAGAUAUUCAGCACACUAUUAUAAAAUGGACUUUGUGAUCAUAGCAAAGUAUUUUCUACUACUGACAUUCCAUUUUAAAAUUACAAUGGAUUUACUGAGACACAAGCCCUUUGUACUCUGAGGAAAAUUUGAAUUCUAAUUAAAGUUUAUUAUAACAUAUAUGCCUUUUAAUUGUGGAGACUGAGAGAGAGCAAUCGAGAGUAAGUACAAAUGGGUUUAUGUGCCAGAACCUGUGUAUGUUAAGUUCAGAGGUCGACCUGGGGUAUAUGCUUCAGAAGUUGUUCUCCAUGGUUUUUGUUAUUUGUUUGUUAAGAUAGGUCCUCACUAUAUUACCUUAUGGAGACCAGCGUGGCAUUGAACUCAUAGAGAUUUGCCUGCCUCUGACACUACAGCCCAGACACCUAGUUUGAGACAGGGAUUUUUAUUUUUAUUUUUUCUGAGGAUCACCCCAUAGGCUGGGCUUCUUGAUGCCCUGUAAGCAUCAGGGAGUGCCUGUUUCUAGUUUCUCAGUUUUGAUUUUGCAAGCCUGUGCCAUGAUGUCUAGUGUAUUAAGGACACAAAGAAUUUAAAAGUGUUUUCUCUAGUCUUUAUGUAGCUUGUCUUUUUAUUCUCUCAAGAAAUGGAAAACUUUAAUUCAGACAGUCAUUUCAUCAGUUUUUUCUUUAAAAAUGACAUCUGGGCAAUGAAAGCACUUCUACCUGGCCAUUCAUCGUGAAUAUAUUCUAAC